UCCAAGUUCAACUAGAAAGGAAUGUAAUUGCAAUUUGUACUCCAUUAUGAAUAACACUAACCGUCGAUACAGUUCAAUCAUUGCCACCUAAUUGAACUGAACAAUUGCAAUCCAACUCAGGUGUGUUUCAAAAUGCAGCGUAAAAGAUGCAUUUAGAUCAAUGGAUUAUUUCUAGCCUGGUGAACCUGUGAUUAGCUCUGUUUUGAGCUUGUAGGUUAUCUUUGCAUUAAGUCGAUGAAACUCAAUCAGGCCUUAAAAGAUUUGAAUUUUAUUUUGUAUUGUGACUUGAAUAAAAGAUAUGAUGUCAUUGAGAAAACCCAAAAGCCACAACUCAGUUUUUCAUUUUUUCUUUUUGUAGUGGCUAUAAGUACAUGCCUUAUCAACUUUUGGCUUGCCACGUCACGAUGGAGGUGUAUUACAGUGCAUAAACACUCAGUGUGCCAGUGGAGAUGAUAGAAGGGAAGUGUGAAGCUAGAAAGAAGCAUGAUCUUCCAUCUCUGGAUGACCCUGCAAUCUUUGAGCAUAUCUUCUUCAGUGAAUACAUGUAUGAUCCUUCCAAAUGUUGGGUGGUGUAGAUAAAAGAGAAAGAUGGCGAUGAUGUUAAGAUGCAAGGACAAGGAAACAAGUGUACAUGGCUAUGGAACUUGACUAGAAAGUAGGUGGUAAGGAAGUUGUCGAAAUAGGAAGAAGACGAUGAUUUUUUGUAUAUUUGUUUAUUAUGUUAAACUUAUAUGUAUUUAUGCGUGAAUGAGUGUGAUGUGGAUAAGAUUGUUUGUGUU